UACGGGGGGGGCAAGCGUUGUUCGGAAUUACUGGGCGUAAAGGGCGCGUAGGCGGCCUUCUAAGUCGGACGUGAAAUCCCUCGGCUUAACCGAGGAACUGCGUCCGAUACUGAAAGGCUUGAAUCCGGGAGAGGGAUGUGGAAUUCCAGGUGUAGCGGUGAAAUGCGUAGAUAUCUGGAGGAACACCGGUGGCGAAGGCGGGUCUCUGGGCAAUUCCUGACGCUGAGGCGCGAAAGCGUGGGGAGCAAACGGG
rnacentral:rRNA from 1 species